AGAGCUGCCACCAUUCCUGUAGAAACAUGACUGAAAAUUAAAAACACAGAUCAAAGAUUUGAAACUAACCAUUGUUCAACAUUCUGCUAACCUAAUGCAAUUUUUCCUUUAAGCUAUCGCGGAACUAACAGCAACAAAACUACAGGCACAUUAUAAUAUCACAUAGCAUAAAAUUAAUCGCUUAAUCAUGAUGCAUUCAGCAGCUUCUAUCUAGUGCCAAAACUAUCCAUUAUUCGUCUCAUUCUAUAACUCAACUAAAUAGAAAUAAAGGAUUUGUUCAAACAGAAGCCACUGUUAACAAUUACAUCUACAAUAAAUUAAAUCAAUCACAUAACAGACAUAAUAUCACUUUCUAGCUUGAUAAGUUCUUCAUUUCCCAUAUGCACCCUAUUAACAUUGCAUUAGGUCUAACACACUUUCCCAUAUGCAGCUCCAUUGAUAAUGCAUGCUGCGUUUCUCAUGGAAUCCUAUAAAAUCUUAAAGCAGUUUAUGAGUCAGAGUGGAAUCAACUCAAAAAUCAUAGCAACCUUGUCCGGAUUCAACCUAAAUUUCAGUCUCUCAUCCAGUGAAGAGCUCAACCAUUG
rnacentral:misc_RNA from 1 species